CUACCCUUGACAUCCUGCGAACCCGGAAGAGAUUCCGGGGUGCCUUCGGGAACGCAGAGACAGGUGCUGCAUGGCUGUCGUCAGCUCGUGUUGUGAAAUGUUGGGUUAAGUCCCGUAACGAGCGCAACCCCUAUCCCUAUUUGCCAGCGGUUCGGCCGGGAACUCUAGGGAGACUGCCGGUGACAAACCGGAGGAAGGUGGGGACGACGUCAAGUCAUCAUGGCCCUUACGGGUAGGGCUACACACGUGCUACAAUGGCGAGUACAAAGGGUUGCGAAGCGGCGACGUGAAGCCAAUCCCAUAAAGCUCGCCUCAGUCCGGAUUGGAGUCUGCAACUCGACUCCAUGAAGUCGGAAUCGCUAGUAAUCGUGAAUCAGAAUGUCACGGUGAAUACGUUCCC
rnacentral:rRNA from 1 species